AGCAGCCGCGGUAAUUCCAGCUCCAAUAGCGUAUAUUAAAGUUGUUGCAGUUAAAAAGCUCGUAGUUGAAUUUCGAGAUCAAAUUGUUGGUCGUGCCUUGGUACGUACUGACAUUAUUGGUUUCUCCCUUCUGAAGAACCAUGAUGUCAUUAAUUUGGUGUCAUGGGGAAUCAGGACUGUUACUUUGAAAAAAUUAGAGUGUUUAAAGCAGGCUCGCGCUUGAAUACAUUAGCAUGGAAUAAUGAAAUAGGACGUUUAAUUCUAUUUUGUUGGUUCUAGGAUUGACGUAAUGAUUAAUAGGGAUAGUUGGGGGCAUUAGUAUUCAAUUGUCAGAGGUGAAAUUCUUGGAUUUAUUGAAGACUAACUACUGCGAAAGCAUUUGCCAAGGAUGUUUUCAUUAAUCAAGAACGAAAGUUAGGGGAUCGAAGACGAUCAGAUACCGUCGUAGUCUUAACCAUAAACUAUGCCGACUAGGGAUCGGAUGAUGUUAAUUUUUUAAUGACUCAUUCGGCGCCUUACG
rnacentral:rRNA from 1 species